CGAGGCCAGGGAUAGAACUCACAUCCUCAUGGAUACUAGUCGGCUUCAUUAACCACUAAGCCAUGACAAGAACUAUUAUCUAUUUUCUAUAUGGUGGUGUGUAUGUGUUAUUCCUAUCCUCCUAACUUAUCCUGCCUCCCCUGGGUAUUAUUUUAAAAAUACUGUUCGUUAAAAAUUAAAGAAGGAAAUGGUCUCGUGUUGCAAUUAAGGCAACGCCUAAGGUGCUCUUGGGGCUCCAGAGGUUUGAUUUAAUAACAAAUAGUUGUUGACCACUUGGUGCCUAGUUUGUGCCAGGCCCUAGAGGAGGUCAAAGGAGUUUUGCCUCCAUGGACUUGUGAUUGCCAUAGGGUAGAAAGUGAACACGUGUAAAACUAGUAGGGAACAAAGAAAUAGCCUGGCAGAUGAUAGCUAAAUUUAGUCCCUGGUUGAUGCUAACAUGCCAAACCCAGAGGUUUCUACCAGAAAGAAUUUUAGAUUUCUGGCUUGGGUCUGCCGUCAUGUAAUUUAUGUGACCUUAGGCAAAGCACUUACUUUCUCUGCCUCUUGCUUUCUUAUUGGUUUCCUGUCUUGGAUGAGCGCCCCUCAAGCCCACAUGAGAAAGCUGUCUCCAACACCUCCUUCCCCUCCUGCCUCCAAUGGGACACCCAGUCCUGUUAAUUCUAUUUUGGAAAUGUCUCCAGAGUCUGCUCAGUCUCUUCCUAUUCCAGUGCACUCUCCACUCAGCAGCCAGAAUAAUCUUGCUAAAACAUAAAUCUGAUCAUGUCACCUGCCUCUGUUUAAAGCCCUCAGUGGUUUCCUCAUUGCCCACAGGACAAAGUCCAAACUCCUUGGCAAGACUUUCUUGGCUCCAUGGUCUGGGCCCAGCCCACCUCUCCAGUCUCGCUUCUCAUGCGGGGCCCUUCACUGCCACUUACCCUGUGGUCUGGACACACCAGACAGCUCACUCUUCUCUGAGCACAAAUGGAAGGCCUGCCUCCCCCGAAUCUCCUUUCCACCUGGCGAAAUCAUAUGUGUCUUUUAACGUUUGUCUCAAUCAUCUCCUCUGGAAGUUGCCCCAGAUCCUGGAGACAGAGUGCAGGUCCCCAUCUCUCUCCACCACUGGGCUAUGAAGCCAUCACAGGCGGGGCCUGCAUUUGUCUUGCUCAGUCUUAUAAACUUUAUACACCUACUAGUACAUGGGAGGUGCUCGACUGUUGCUGAGCAGAAAGCAAAUGGAUGGAGGAGGAAAAAUUUUAAAUGGAGAUAACAGUGUUUGUCUGUUGUUACCACCCAAGGUUGCUUGUGGCAUGAACAUGAGAUAGUAUUUAUUGAAGAACUGAAAAAUGAGAGCUACACAAUGCAAAACAGAGUAUUUGUCAUUGUUUUCAAAAGGAGAGAUGGUUAGCUUUGGAACUGUGGAUGAAAAGCCUUAGGAGUUCCUCCAUCAUAUCACCAUUAACGUGUGUGCACAUGUAUUUAUGCAUAUACAUGUGUGCUUGGGUGCGUGUGCACACACAUUCACACAUCAUGUCUAAGAGUUGGUGGGUGCUGGGAGCUGGUAAACCAGAUAGAAAAAUCCAGAUGGCCAGAAUUUUGCAUAAUUCAGCAAAAAUAUGCCUUGUUGGUACAGGAACACACAUGGCAUGAACUGUGACUCAGUGGCCUGGACCUGCUCAGGCCUUUAGUGACCACAGGUCCUCUUCUUUCCCAGAACUGGGGCUGAACCUAGAAAGGAGGGAAGGAGGAGCUUGGCUCCUUUUUCUUUCGUGUUCUCUUUUCUGUCUGAAUAUUGUCUGCCCCAGUCACCUACAUGGAACAGGGUACAUCGAAGUAAGAAGAAAAGAAACAGAAAUAGAGGUCUGGGCAUAGGCAACACUUUGCAAAUACUAUUGCACUAACCUUUAUUAUCAAUAUCUGUGUAUCUACCUUAUUCGCAGCACCAGACCGGGAUUCCGUGGAGGGCAGGUAUUUUCUUUGCAUCUUCUGCUCCCCCUGCAGGGGCCUAGCACCAUGGCAGGUGUACACAGGUGUUAGCUGAAAGAAUGAGAAAGGUUGAAGUUUACCUCUAAUCCAGUUCCCUGGUGUGCCAUGUCUCGCUUUUGUUUUUGGUGUUUUCUGAAAAGAUGGAUUCUUCUUCCUUUUGGCCAGAUGGAGGAUAAGGCAAUUUUCUUUGACACUCCGUCUGGGCAACCAACCCUCACUGCUGCCCCCAGGUUUCAUUUUUCCUCUGGAUGCCACCUGAGGACUCAGAGGCAGUGCAUCUUGGGCCUGGAUCCCUUCUCUUCUCAGACCCCUGAAGGUUGCCCUGUCACAGAGCAGGGGGUGGUGGCGGGGCCCCGCAGGGUGCCGGAAGGGAGCCUAAAGGCUUAAUUGGUUAAACUUGAUUACAAAGGCCAGUCCUAUUGUUUCCAGGCCAUUAAAAACCAUUAUCAUCUUCCCAAGCUGGGCAGACAGCAGCUAGUUGCUUUGAAGCAUGUCUUGGAGAGAUAAGGAAAAUUUAUCCCUUGUUUUGACUUCAGGAUUUUUUCUUGGUUUAUUAUUUGAUGCCCCCUGGGUCAACUUUCUCUCCAACGGUCCCUGGUCUCAGACACCUUUCCAGUUGUUGGCAGGGGAGGUUCAGAUUAGGAUCCUCUAUCUGACUAGGAGGAUGGAAGAUGCUGUAAGAGACCUGAGAUAAAUGUCCCUCACCCACUCCUUCCCUCUCCCUUCUCCUCUCCUCUCCUCCCUCCCCCAUAGAGCAGUUUCUCAAGGGGCUCACACCUAUUGAUCUCUGAGCAGGGGGGACUUUUCUCAUGAACUUCAGCGAAUUCUCCCACCUCCAUGAUCGUGUGUACUCUGCUGAGAAGACUUCCUAGAGCCCUCCCCACAGCCCUCAUUACCAGCCCCCGACCUGGCCUCCUCGGAGUACUGUGAGCGUUGAAGGAGGAACUAUCGUCACUCUGCCCCUUUCUGUGAUAGGCAUAUCUAGGCUUGCCCUGGUUGGGCCGGCCAGAGCCCUUGAGGGCCCUCAUCCACACCCCAGACAAUCUGUCUCCCCCAGGGGUCCUUCUUGGGGGUGUGACUUUCCAUCUGGACAGAUAUGGGCAGCGGGAUGUAGGCCGUACCCACCUUGCCGCGGUCAGGUUUUUGCCAGUGAUCCUGUGGAAUGUUGUAUGUCCCAGACCUGAAAAGAAGCCCUUGUACUGAAGCCUGGACAUUGAACAUCGUUUUUCAGCUGAUUGGUUGAAGAGUUGAGUGUGCUCUGUGGGCGAUGAGCCAGCUCGCCAGAUCCUGGGCACUCACCUGCUUUUUUGGACAAACAAAUGAAUGGAUGUAGGAAUAAGGAGUGUCAGCCAGUACCAGGUCACUCCUUAUGGGUCUGUGUGUUCAACUCAGAAAGUACUGACUGUCUGAUGUGGAAGAGUUGGUGCUAGGAAUCAAAAGAUGUGUAAGACCUGGUUCCUGAGAUUUAAGCACUGAUGUCUCGUGAGAUAAGACAGGUAAGCACACACGGAAGGAGAGACACAGUGACUUGUAUAAGGGGCAAUGGGUUAAUUCUGAACGAAGGGAUCAGGAGAGCUUUGGGGAGGAGAUGGUUUUUAAGGAUUCAGUGAACAGAGAAGAGAAAGACAAGCAGAUCCAGACUGGUAAACAGCAAGGGCAAACGUUUUUGACACACGACAGUGCCCUCAGCUUGCCACAGACCAGGCCUGGGAGCCCCACCCAAAGCCACUUCUGUCUUCAGCCAGGGUGGCUCCAAAUCCAUCUCAGACAACACCAAAUAAUCCCAGGAAUUUUUUCCAGGCGUCUGACCCUGGGGCAGGGCUUGGGGCAGACAUUCCUUUCCUCUAGACUUCACGAGGGCCCCAUGUUGCUGGAUGAGGGCGCAUAGGACACACACAGGGAUGCCCUGGAGUUGACGAAGUGGGGUGGAUCAGCUCCCGGCACCUGAUCCCUCCGUUUCCAUAAGAUAUUUUCUUUGCCGGGAGUUCCUGCUGUGGUGCAGCAGGUUAAAGAUCUGGUGUCUCUGUGGCGGCGAGGGUUGGAUCCCCGAGGGCCAGUGCAGUGGGUUAAGGAUCUGGCGUUACCGCAGCUGUUGUGUAGGUUUUAGCUAUGGUUUGGAUUUGAUCCCUGGCACAGGAACUUUCAUAUGCCUCUGGUGCAGCCAUUAAAAAGAGGAGGAGGAGAAGAGAAAAGAUGUUUGCCCCUCUGCCCCCCAGCCGCUCUCCUUGUCUGGACAAGCAUCACUCUCUUCUGGGGCUUUAUUCCUACAGCUCCCUGUCUAGGAAGGCUGUCUUCUUAUUUCUGUUUGUCCAGUUGCAUCCUUCCCCAAAGGCCCAGCCUCCUUCUGGAAGGAAAUGCACCUUCUUCUGAGCUCCCAAAGCAUAUCCCUGCUGCCGAGGGCAGGGCUGGAGAGCCCCCCCCUCCCCCCCGUUUCUCAGGAGCUGGCCUCAGGAUGGCUGUCCCAGAGAUGAAGGAAGGAAUGGAGCUUCCUACCAACCCAGUUUUAUUACAAACAAGUAGCCAGGGUCAAUGUGUUUUUAGCACAUUAAGAAAACCUUGCAAAGCCCCUGACUUUUCAGGUUCUCCAGAUAACUGCUUAGUUACCUUGCAGAGAGUAGGAGGAGGCCAGGAAAGAGAAUUCUUAAUCUGGGGGAGCAGGAAGAUUCCCUUGGCUCUUUGCUCCGACAGUGCCGCAGCCCAUAUAUAACUGUGGGCGAGCUCCCCCUCUCCGAGUCGCUUAUCUCUGCCUCACAUUCACAGACUCACCAGCCUGGAGUCUCCCUGGAUUUUGGCCAAGCCAGUUGGGAAUGCAUAAUAGCUGAGAUACGGGAUGGGAUGGGCCCGCCACGUCCUUGCAUGCCGCCGUGAAGGUCCCUUCUCUCCUUCUUUCCCCCUCUCUAACUUUUUCUCUGGCAUUGGGAGCUAAUCUUUGUGGUUCCCACCUCUCUAAUCUGUGAAAGAAGAGAGAUUCAGAUUUCACGUUUGCAGGUGGCUGUGCGUGUAAUUAUGGACACCCCUUGGAGAAUGGGGGGGGAGGUUUGGGUGAGCAGAUUUAGACCAAAUGGCAUUUAGUGAGCUGCCAUUUUGAAAUCUUGCCUAAAGGGCCUUGUGAACGUACAACCGUCUAUAAACUCUCCCCCAGCUCACUUGCUUGUUAUGACCAAGAUUUUAGUUUGGCGUUUGUAUCUUUCUGUCUCUGCUUUUUGCCCUGACAGAAACUGGGACGAGCAAAGGAAAGGCCACUGGAAGGAAGAUCCUAGCCUGAUGGGAGCAAGGGCUGCUGGGACAUUCGGCUCGGGGACCAGUUCUACAAGGAAGCCAUUGAGCACUGCCGCAGUUAUAACUCGCGCCUGUGCGCAGAGCGCAGCGUGCGGCUCCCUUUCCUGGACUCACAGACUGGGGUGGCCCAGAACAACUGCUACAUCUGGAUGGAGAAGAGGCACCGAGGCCCAGGCCUCGCCCCUGGCCAGCUGUACACAUACCCUGCCCGCUGCUGGCGUAAGAAGAGACGAUUGCACCCGCCUGAGGAUCCGAAGCUGCGGCUGCUGGAAAUAAAACCUGAAGUGGAACUACCCCUGAAGAAGGAUGGGUUCACUUCAGAGAGCACCACCCUGGAAGCCUUGCUCCGCGGUGAGGGCGUUGAGAAGAAGGUGGACACCAGGGAGGAAGAAAGCAUCCAGGAAAUACAGAGGGUUUUGGAAAAUGAUGAAAAUGUAGAAGAAGGAAAUGAAGAAGAGGAUUUAGAAGAGGAUAUUCCCAAGCGGAAGAAUCGGACCAGAGGACGAGCCCGUGGCUCUGCAGGUGGCAGAAGGAGGCACGACGCCGCCUCUCAAGAAGACCACGACAAACCUUACGUCUGUGACAUCUGUGGCAAGCGCUACAAGAACCGGCCGGGACUCAGCUACCACUAUGCUCACACUCACCUGGCCAGCGAGGAGGGGGAUGAGGCCCAAGAUCAGGAGACCCGGUCCCCACCUAACCACAGAAACGAGAACCACAGACCCCAGAAAGGACCGGAUGGGACAGUCAUUCCCAAUAACUACUGUGACUUCUGCUUGGGGGGCUCUAACAUGAACAAGAAGAGUGGGAGGCCGGAAGAGCUGGUGUCCUGUGCAGACUGUGGACGCUCUGGUGAGUGUGCCUGUAGACCAGGAACUGUUCUGCUCGCCUUUCUCUGCCAUCUUGCGGGGGGCGGGGCUGAAAGGUGGGGGUGCAGAAGUGAUAGUGGUGGUAUUUUAAGCGGAGAGGGGUAUCCGAUUAUUUUGAUUUUUGUCUUCUUAAGAACUAAAAGUUACACCCUGGGAUCCAGGGAAAAAGAAAGAAGGUUUUGGCCAGUGUGUGUCUGGCCUUUCCAUGAGGUGGAUAUUUCCUUGUGUGUUGUUGUGGAUGACCGCGGGACACAGUGGGAACACUGGAGACACAGUCAACAUGCUUCCUUGUAUCGGCUGAUGUGCACGUAACAAAAAGAUGUGUUGGUUCCGCGGAAGUGCCCGGGGCAAACCGGAAGAGUACAGACACAUGAAUAUUGGGAGAGCAGCCACCUCCGGACGUGUGGGAGCCAGAGAUCCCUGGGCUCCUGGGCAGCUGCAUACAUAUCACCUCCAUUGGCCCAAUCAUCCCAUCGUCUCAUACGGAAAACAAAAGAAAGCCUGGUAGAUCAAGGAGGCGAAAGGCAGGUGCUCCUAGGGCUCCUCUGGACCUGGGAUGUUUUGAAUUUUCAUUUUUGAUCUAGCCAAAGACUGAAAUUGGUCUUGUUCUUUUCAUUCUUAAAAAGAAUUCAGGCCUUCACGUUUUGUUCAAGCUAUCGUUUUGCUUUGCAGUUCCAUUAUUUUUGGCUGGUCGUGGUUGCUCUUUCGUAUUUGUUAUAUGCUAUAACUAGGCCAAAGGGCAACACAGGGAGGAGAGAAGGUUUCAGACUCGUCUGUAGUCUCAUCAACUGCUGACUAGUAGGUGAAACACAGUUCUGUUGAGCGGUUGGUUCCAGCAGCCAUCAGUCACUCCUCCUUCCCAUCUUUCCACCCAGCAUCUUUUCUACUCCUAGUCUUGAGGGAAGGCCUGAGAUGCCCACACCUGGCUUUACUGUAGCAGCCCAGUUCUUCCCUUGCUCUGUCUGCAAACUUUAGCGUGAGUCCUUUUAUAUUGGGUUUUGGGUUGUUGAAGCUCUACGACUGACUGGAGCGGCCAAUCAGGAAUUGGAAAAGCACUGUGGUUUCCACUGCACACAACCCUCCACAUUUAACCCCUAAGGGCCCUGAUGGGUGGCCUAUUUGCGCAAUUCUGUCAGUUUGUUUACUUACUAAACACGAUACCUAAUGUUGAACUUUUUACCCUACUGGUGCCAGCUUAGAAGAGAGGGCCCAUGUGAUCGUGGAACCUGGGAUUUUGGUACUCAAAAAGAGAAGGAUGCACAUGAAAUCCAGGUCAGCAUUUUUAAGAAGCAAGCGAUCAGACAAAGUCUCUACUGCCAGAAGCAAAGUUACUUGGUGGCAUGAUAUUCCGGGCAGAGUGUAAUGACUGCUGUGAGUUUGGGAUGCGUUAGAGAGGGCAGCUUCAGAAUUCUCAGGGAAAAUUUGCUGAAAUUUCCCCUUUCUUUCCUACAAAAGUUGGGGUACUUGGAUCUGCUCCAUAUGGACCAGAAGUGGGCAGUUGGUUUUAUUCUAUCCAAAGCCUUUCUUUUCACAGCUUUUACUCAGCUUCUUCUUCCCAGGAUCUCUCUGCUGUGUGACUCAGGGGGCCAUUGUAUACCAGCCUAGGUAUUCUCACUGCAUUUGCCGAGGAUUCAUUUUGGUGCAUAAUUUAGUCAAGGUCUGACUCUGAUGUUCCUGAAAUAGUUGCUGCCUUGGGAAUAAACAGGUGGCAGUAGCCCAUGGAAUAUGCUUGUUAAGGCAGGUGGGCGAAUGCUUCUCGAAGGCCUCCCUGGAGUCCUUCCAAGGAGGAGUAUGGAGCUCGGAAGAGCUGUCUUUUCCUUCCCAUCUACCACACGACCUCCUUUUCCUGGAAGAAAAAGUGAGAUUCCUGAAAUUGGCACCAUAAAUGGCACAUUAUGACCCAUUAGGGGGCUGUCCUGGGGUCCAUUUAGAAUGUGGAAAUUUUCAACCUGAGUUUUAUAGAUUUCAGGAUACUGUCUUUUAUUAGGCUUUUCCACCUCUAUGACUCACUUUCUCAGUGCUCUCACCCUGGACUUUCUGGAGUUCCUAAGACCUGGGUAUGCUUCAUGGCUGGAGUGUGUGUGUGGGUAUGCCUGCAUGCACGCACGCGUGCAUGCGUGUGCGCACGCGUGUAUGUGUGGGCAGAUCACAGAGAUGUCCUCCAGUGGUUAAAAAAGACCAGAGGCUCUUUUAUUACCUACCACUUAUCAGACUUUCCAACCUCUUUUCACUUUCAGUGCAAAGGAACUACAUGAUGUAAGGGCAGGAUUGAAAGGGUACGGAAAGAAUGGGAUUAGAAACGGGUAAAAAUAAAAAUAAAAUGGAUGGAGGCUUAACCACCUUGACUGGGUCAUCUGACAGUAAUACCUUUGUAAAGCUGACUGUCAAAGUGAAGGACAAACAUUGUGCAAAGAGACGCCAGCUGAAAACACCAAAGAAAUACCAACCAGGCUUAAAAACCACCAAGGAAACACAUUGUCUGGGGCGGGGUUGAGCGAGCGUGCAUGUAACGAGAAGAAGGAAAGAAAGAAAGAUCGUGGUUGAAUCUUGCGCUGUCAGAGCUGUGGACAAUUCUGUUGUGGUAGAGACGGUGCCUUUUCGGGGAGGGGAGAAUCCUUUUCCCUGGAAAUGCUGGCUUUGUCCCGUUACCCCCAAUCCCUGUCGCCAGGUGAUGUACCCAGUUAAUUCCUUUUGGUGUGAAAUGGUUUUUGAUCUUGCUAUUAAGAAUAACACUGUAAUAAUGUAAUAAGAAUAUUAAUAAUGCUGUCUGUUGCUUAACCCAUGUGCUGAUAUAUUCAUCAUACGUGUCAGCUCAUUUGGGAGGAGAAGGCAGGAAGGAGAAGGAGGCAGCGGCCGCAGCACGCACCACGGAGGACUUAUUCGGUUCCACGUCAGAAAGUGACACCUCAACUUUCCACGGCUUUGAUGAGGACGAUUUGGAAGAGCCUCGCUCCUGCCGAGGACGCCGCAGUGGCCGGGGUUCGCCCACAGCAGAUAAAAAGGGCAGUUGCUAAACGCACGGAACAGACUCUCUGGGCAAUUAGCCAUCACCCUCUGACUUUGGUCAUUGUUCUGGUUCUGAUAUAUAUAUAUUUUUAAAUGAAAGACAAUUUAGGUUUUUCCCUUCAUCCUGGCUUUCUCCCUCUCACCUUCCACGUGCCCCUGCCCCCUUUCCCUCUGUGUAGGGUACGUCCAACAGAAGCACAAACUACUGAAACAAAAGAGAACAAAAGAGCAGAAUAACAGUCCUUCAGAGAGAUGGCAGCAUCAUGUACUAUUUAUUUUCCAUAGACAUGGGAAGUUAGGCGGAUUAUGUCUUUUUGGGGGGGGGAUCUUUUUGACAUGAGCAGAGUUGAUUUCCUGUUUUCCUAUUUAUUGGCAACAAUGAAGAGAGGAGGCGCACUGGGUUUGGAAACAACAAAUAACAUUAAACAAUUAUUAUUUAUAUAUUCUAACUAUUAUUAGAAGCAGAACUUUUUUUUUUUUUUUUUUUUUGAGAGAGAGAGAGAAGGGAAAUCAAAGGAAUGGAAGUCAUAUCCUGGUUAGAAGAAAGCCCCUGGGGAGGGGGACUGAUUCAAGGAGCCCCAGGCAGGAGGCUUUCCUCGUUGGGAAAGGAUUGCACUUGCUGUGCCCCACGGAGUUUGUGGCUCCCCGCGCCAGACCCCCCUCCCUGUGUUUCUCCCACCCCCCACCUUUCCAUCUUCCUCCUUGCUUGCGAGGGAAUGUCAGCAGUUCCUGAGAAGCCUGGGCCACCCGCGUGGCCUCCCUGCAGCACCUGGGCCCUGACCGGCAGCGCCUCCCGGGUAUCCUCUUCCUCCGUUGGCCUCGCUGCCGCUUUGUUGUUGCUGGUCUUUUCCUCACUUUCCUCUUGGCGAAGAGCAAUUUCCAAAUGCAGGAAUGGAAUAGAAGCAGCAAGUCAUGGACUCAGCUGGGACAAAGCCACCCAAGGCCAUGCUCGCGGAAGAAAGGAUGAUACCUCAACAGUGUGUCUCCCUCUCCCCUCGUCCCUGUUUAAAAACGUAUCCGAACCCGUUGGACGAUCAAGUCUCCCGUAUUUCUUCUUCUACUUUUUUUUUAUAGUGCCCCCCAGGCACUUUGUUUUGUGUUUCCAAUAGCACCUCCUGAAAUAAACCAAAGCAUCACUUGCUCAAGGCCCCCGGGGUGAUGAAGACCGUCCACCGUGUUGGCAGUCCCAAGGAUGAACAGCCGUGCGGUCCUAGUUAAAAGUCAACGCUAUGACCUGGGAACUCCGGCAUCCUUCAAGCAAGCCAUUUGGGAAGAAGGUGAAAAGAAGCCACAACGCCUUGCUCCUCCUCCUCCUCUUCCCUAGCCUGGCCCCCUCCUGCGCCAACACAGGAGCCUGGAUUGUGGAAAAACCUCCAGCGCAACUCAGCUCAGCUCAGAGAAGUCUCGGGAAUGGCCUCACUUUGUGCAAUAAGAAGAUUUUUUUUUUUUCUUUUUAAAAUUCUUCAUUUUCUUUAAGUAUCUGUGAGAAAACAUCCAGGUCAGACUGGAAAUGCUCUACAAUAGAAAUAACUGAACACAAACAAACUGACAAAAAAAAAAAAAAAAAAGAGUUAACUAUUUUAUUUAUUUCAAUAUUUAAAAGAAAAGGUGCUGAAGUGGCACAGUAUUUUUGUUUAAAGUACCUUCUACUUCAAAAGUUAAAAGCAAUUUUGUGAAGACAUGCAAAUCAAAAGAGGACUUAAUGUAAAAUAAAGACUGCAUAUUAACUCUAAGGAAAAAUACCCCACAUUUUUAAUACGAGAAUAAAGAUCAACUCUGCUCUCUCAGGCUUUUUUAAAAAGCCAUUCCUGUAUGUGCUUUAGGUAUUUUUUAUUUCUGCAAGUUGGAUGUGGUAAGUGAGGAGUGAUCAGGCUUUUUUUUCCCCUUCUUCAAAAGUAUUUUGAAAGUGUUUGAUUAUGUGUUAAGACUUGUCUAAAAUAAAUUAGCCACAAAGGCUAUCUCCAGUCUCUCCACCCCCAAACAAACAAACAAACCUCUCCCCUCGCCCCAGGCAAGCCCCUCUUAUCUGAUGUUGAGAAGUAGCCUGGUUAUCUUGUCUGACAAGGCCUGGUUCUGAAAGAAAUUCCCUCUAGCGAUUAAAUAUAUGUUUGCAAGUUCAACAGAUUCGAACACGGACAGCUUUGUUUAAACUAAUACAGUGAAGGAAGGGAGAAGAAGAAAAAAAAAAAAAAAGCGUCAGCUGGGAUGAUAUUAAUUCUGCUCCCUAACAGCUGCUAGAGGAGACUUGCAAAGGAAGCCUUCUGCUGAGCUGGCUUUGGGGGCCUGAGAUGGGUGAGGAAGGCCACCCUGAAAGAUAGGAACCUCAAAUUCAGUUGCUGGUGGGGGUAAAAAGGAGAAAGGCAAGUGGUCUGGCCUGUCCUUUUACAGCCCUAUUGGUGGAAGCACUCGUUGUGGCCUAUAAAGUGCAUUCAACUUUGUGUCUGCAGCCUGGUCAAGAAACCGGGGUGACUGGCUGGACCACUGGGCUACUCCCAGUCUUAUGUGUUCAUGCCCUUGAGUUUCCCUCACUGGUCAGCAGAGCCACUAUAAUCCUCGUACAAUCUAAUGCUGGCUGUUGCUCUCAGCAAAACCUUGAUUGGCCGUGUUCGUGGUUCUGAGCCUGCUGGUCUCUCUUUUGUCUUUGCAAGGGGAGGUUGGAUGGGCACAAGACUUCCUGCCAGCCCUUUUGAGACCAGUCCCCAGGGGAGAUCACCAAGAGUGUCUUUGUAUCAUUUUGUCGCCCUCUCUGUGACAUUUUCUGAUAGAAAAUGUCCUUUUUCAAAAUGCUAAUAAUUAUAAUAAUAAUCCACUCUCCAACCAACUCCCACAAGUUAUAACAUGUGUAGAACUGUGAUAAAGCUUUGCAUAAUGUAGGGUUUGUAUCAAGUUUGUGUAAGUUUCUGUUAAAUAAAAGUCUGUUUCCAAUGCUCC